rnacentral:lncRNA from 10 species
CAACAUUGCAAAUUGUCCUCACUGAGGAUUCACUAAGCUCUAUUAUAGUCUGGAUGUUGAGGCUGCUGUACCCACUUUGAUCACACUCACCUAGCACUUUUAACUCUGCAGGUAAAAUGAAGAACCUAAUUCACGUUUUACUUCACUAUCAAACAUUGGUAUUUUACAGAUUCAUUUUUAGAAAAUUCAUUAUAUUUUUAUUUUCACAAUUGAAGUAAUUGCUUUAUAUUUUCCAAACGUAGGUUUCUGAUUUGCAAACAAGCAUCCAAAAAACAACUUGAAACCUACCCAAAACAGAAAAAGUGGCCACAACUUGGAAGAAGAGACAAAAUAACAUGUAUACAUCCAUGAAGAUUAUUGGGCCACUGGGAUUCACGUGAUAUAAAGAUGAAAUGCUAGCAAUGCCUGUUUGAAGCCUAUCAAGACAAUAACAUUUUCAGAGCACCUAAUAUAUGCCAGCUAAUGAAUUGGCACCAAUUCAGAGCUCCACAAUCAAAGCUCUAUUGGAGAUUGGAAGGUGGAAAAAGAAAAGGAAAUCUACAUAUCAAAAUAAAAUUGCUCACACUUAAGAGAAACCAGAGUCAGCGAGAAUGAAAGCAUUCCCAACUAUAAGUUUUUCUUCUCCAUGCCUGAAACUUCAACACUUACCUAUUUAGAAAGUGAUCGAGUAUCAGGCUAGCAUUAUCUAACCUAGUGUAAUGAUAAGAUGCAGCCAUUACAUUAUAGCUGAGCUGCAGUUUGAAUCAUGAGGGUUCCAAAUCCCUCUGGAGGAUCCUACAUUAAAUGGUUUCAAAGUGUUGUUUCAGUACAAGCAACAGUUGCUAACAUCAGCUCGAUGUUGUUUAGCAUCAGCAACACUUGGGAAUGGAUUAGAAACGCAAACUCUUGGUCCUCUGCAUUCUAAUCAACCAUCCAGGUGAGUCUAUGCAUGCUAAAAUUCUGGAACCAUUGUCCCAUACACAAUAGCUUUAGGAAUGACAAUAAAGGAAUCCAGGAACUGAUGCUUAGACUCUGUCAACUUUGACUCAUUUGUCUAUAUUUGUCCACAAGGCCUGACAGUCACAUGUAAGAGAAGAGUGGGCAAAUCUUACUGAGACAACUUCCUUACCAAAUAAACCUCCUUUUAUAACUUAAAGAUCUUGAAUCCAGAGCUAUACUUUCUCCCUCAGUCACAUAAAAUUCUCUGCUUCCUUUUUCAGCUCUAGUCAACCCUUCUAAAGUCUAAACAUAUCACUGAAGAAUAUUGACAACAAGUACAUCUCUUUAACUGCAGAAUUUCAGAUGGUUUGUUGAGUGGCAGAAAGAGAGAGUAGACCCAUUGUAAGUUGAGUAUCUAUUCAGCCAGGAAAGAUAAAUUCAAUAGAAGUGAGGUGACUAGAUAGAGCAGGAUUAGAUAAAGAGUAUCUUGGGUUGAAUUUCCCUGGCCCCUUCUUUGCUAAUUAUGUAUGCAUCUGCCAAUGACACUUUCCAUACUGUGUUUUUUUCCUAUUAAAUAUAAUGAUUAGAUAAUUUCUAUACCACUGCUCUUUCAUACUAGAGGUUUAUAUCACUGUAUCAGAAGAAUAUACCUUAGUAACCCAUGUAUAUCUGUUUAAAUGAAUGCAUAUAGAUCUUUUUUGUUUCUUGAAUAAAACUCAGUGCCAACAAGGACACUCCCUCAGCAGGGGAAAGAAGCAAGACUGGUCUUUGCCCACAUGUCUCUGCGUAAUAAUUCUGCUGCCAGAUUUUCAAGGUGCAAGAGUAUUUCCACUUCAAUGUCAUUUAUCCAUUUUUUAAAAUGUGAAUUUGUAGUUUGCAAAUUUGCAAAUCAUACAUCUGAUAAGGGCUUACAAUCUAAAUUGUAUAAGAAACUCACAUAACUCAAUAACAAAAAAAAAACACCAAAUAAUCAAAUAAUCCAAUUAAAACAUGGACAAAGAAUUUGAAUAAUUAUUUCUUCAAAGAAGACAUAAAAAUUACUAACAAGUGUAUGGAAAGGGGGUCUAUAUCAAUAAUCAUCAAGGAAAUGCAAGUUCAAACCACAAUGAGAUAUCACCUCACUCCUCUUAGGAUGGCUAUUAUAAAAAAAAAAAGAUAAAACAAGUGUUGACAAGGGUGUGAAAUGUAAAUUGGUACACUGUUGGCAGCCAUUAUGGAAAACAACAUGGAGGUUCCUCAAAAAUUAAAAAUAGAACUACUGAAGCAGGAUAUUUCCCUGACCCCUAUGCGGGCCUCAUGACGGGUUACUCAGCCCGCAGCUAUCAACCCCUCACAGGAGGGGGAGCAUGCAGGUGCGCAGGUACCGGAGCCGGGACAUGCCCUUUUGGGCACCGGCAGGAAUGAACUUCAUACUGGCCCAGCAGCACUGUCUGGUGGGGGCGGUGUUCCUGUGACUCCGGAAGCCCCAGAGAGAGUGUUACAGUCAGUGCUUUUUUAGCUUUGUUGCCUGUGGAUGGCUUAAAUGUUAACAGAUCAGUGGAGUGUGACAGCCUUUUACACCUAUACUCAUGACUCCAAGCUCUUGUCCAGUGUCCAGGAAAAAUGAGUUUGCAUGAAUGAAUUGAAGAUGGUAAAGGUGGGGGAUUUUAUUGCCGAUGAAAGUGGCUCUCAGUGGGAAGAGGAGCUGAAAAGAGGACGGAGCAGGAAGGUAAUCUUCCCCUGAAGUCCAGCCUUCCCUUACCAGACUUGUCUCUGAAGCUAUGCUGUCAAGCUGUUCCUCUGAAGUCAAGCCACUUCUCCCUAAUGUCCAACUGUAGUCUCUGACAUUCAGCUGCUUCUCCUCUCUCUGCCAUAUGAGCCUUGGAUUUUUAUAGGCACAGGAUUGGGAGUGGGGCAGGCCAUGGGUUGUUUUAGAAAAGGCAACAUUCGAAUGGGAAAACAAGGAUGUAAGUUCUCACUUUGGGCCAUAGUUCCAGGCUUGAGGAUGGGGCCCUAGCCAGGGACCUACACUCUUCUGCCCAGAAUUUCGCUUCUUCCUGUCGCUAUCACUGCUAAAUGACCCAGCAAUGCCUCUGGGUAUAUACACAAAGGAAAUGAAAUCAGAACAUCAAAGAGAUAUCUGCACUCCCAUGUUAAUUGUAGCACUAUUCACAAUAGCCAGAAUAUGGAAACAAGCUUCUGUCAAUUGAUGAAUGGAUAAAUUAUAGUAUACACACAAUGGAAUAUUAUUCAGCCUUAAAGAAGAAAGAGAUCCUACCAUUUAUAACAACAUGGAUGAACCAGGAGGACAUUAUGCUAAGUGAAAUAAGCCAGACAGAGAAAGAAAAAUAGUGCAUGAUCUCACUUACAUGUGGAAUCUAAAAAUAAAAUGAAAUACAAAGAGAAUAUAAUCAUGGUUACGAGGGGUAGGCGAGUCAUAGGAAAUGAGGAGAUGUAAGACAAAGGGUACAAAGUUGUAGUUGUAUAGAAUAAACAAGUCUAGAGCUCUAAGGUACAGUGUAAGGACUACGUUUACACUAUUAUACACUGGAAAUUUGCUAAGAGAGUAGAUUUUUGGUGCUCUCAGCACACAAACAAAAGGAUAACUAGGCAAGAAGAUAGAUAUGUUCAUUUGCUUGACUAUUACUUAUUAUUUCACUAUGUAUAUAAAAACAUCAUGUUGUACACCUUAAAUAUAUAUAGUAAAUUAUGGAUAUAUUAUGGAUAUAUAUGGAUAUAUAAAUAACUCUCUUGCCAGAUUUUUAGGGUCCAAUAGUGUUGCCUCUGUACGAUAAUUUAUCCAUUUUUUAAAAAUAAGGCAUUUUCUUGUUUUUUGGCAUUUCCUGUUUGUACAAGCUUUACAUGUAUUAAGGAUUGUAAUUAUUUGCCUACGAUAUAUGUUGCAUACAUUUUCACAGCUCACUGUUUGUCUUUUAUAUAUUUUUUCAUAUAUAAACCAAUUUUUUCUUAUCUAAACAAAUUUAUUAAUUUUCCCUUUAUGUUUCUAUAUCUGUUCUAUUAUUUUAAAAUGUACUCUCAAUCCAAAUAAGAGUUAAU